AUGCUGCUUAGCAAAUGAAGUAUUAUAAAUCUGCUGUAAAUCCUAACUGCUAAUGGUUAAAUGCACACUCCAGGGUUGGUUGCAACAUCUUAAUCUCAUAGCUUUAGAGUCAAAUGCUCCUUUAUCCAUACAUUCUUGCACAAGCACAUAUUAGGCUGAAUUUACAGCCUCGGUCCAUCUCUCAGCUCUCCCAGAAGAGGCCUGAGUCUAUCUGCUCAAGACAACACCCCUCUGUCUCCAGCCUAUUGAUCUUUGCUGGUCCGUCCCUCCACAGCACGUCCACUGUUCCUCUCUGGCAUCCCCUAAAAAAUUGCCCCCUGUUGACAUCGACUCCCCGAGGGGAACCACAUUCCAGGAACGAUUCCAUAUCUGCUCAGUGUUUUUCAAGAUGUCCGCUCUUCUUUUGUAACAGUGAUUAUGUAAAGGGUUGGAGCGCAGACAGCUGGAAAUAGCUGAAAAGAUGCUGCCUGUGGUUAUUAUAGGCUUGGGAAAGCUCGAGUAAAACUACAGCAAAGUGAUAGAGGUUCUCCAGAUAAAACAUACAAGGACUGUUCCACGUCGAUGCCAAACCAAACACAGUCGAGGCCUAGAUCAGAUCAGGUCAACCUGAGUCGGAUUCCACAUUGUGUGCGCUCCAUUUCUGGCAAAACAGGGUCACAGGAAGAGAGGCAGAGGGUUUUGGUUGAAAUACACACACAUAGACACACAACGUGGUGCAAACAGACGGCCUUGUUCGAGGCAGCAGGGGGCACGAGCUCUGAUAAUGAGUGGCACACAUGAAAAGGUGGCUCCUUGCUAGAAAACAAACUUCACCAGAGGAGCCGUUGUUAACAGGCUGACCUCUGAGCCUCUGAGCGGGCACAUUGUCCCCCCGAUGGAUCCCCUCUGACAGCCCGUCACUCAGUGCAACCGUCUCUGUCGGCCAAUCAGGGCUCAACGCCGGCACCCAUCUGGGAAAACUCCGCCCACCGAGCCGACUUGAAGAAUUUGGUGUGACGCCAUGUUUAGACGGCAGUGGAAAAAUGUUGCUGUGUGGUUUUUACUGAAGUGCAAUCACAAGACUGAUGAUGACCCGCUGUAAUAAAUAACGUAAUAUAAACAGAUUCAGUCAAGGAGCUAAUUAUAGGAUUAUACUAUGAUUUAUGCUCUGUAACUUAAAACAACCGGCCUCUUUCAGAUGCUCAGUUCAAGGAUACUGCUGAAACAGAACUUUCUCAGUAAUGUGCUGUAUAAAAGAAUAAGUUAAAAGACACAGCGGUUUGGAUCGGUAACACUUAAGCUUGAAGAGAUUUCAGUUUUAAAGUCUGCCAGAGCCGGUAAAUAAAAGCCGACUUCACUGUCAUUUUUGUUGGAUUGAACUUCAGUAUUUUAUUACCUUUCUGUUUACUGAAGUCUAAUAUUUAUACCCCUGUAAUAUUUCCCCUUCAAUAUGAAUGUCACAGAGACGUUAUGGCGGGAAUGAGUGGUCCAAUGGCGAUACUGGCACCAGAGGUGGUUACAGAGGAGCAACAGAGGUGAGACAGGAUCACAAAGCAAGCAGAGUGGGAGUGUACAAACGUGCAAAAGGCCGUCUUAACUGUGCUAUUGUGUGGAGGAAAUAUUAAAGGACUAUUGCCAAUGUUAAAACAAACUGCAGUUCUUCAAGAGUCCAUUUGAGGCUUGUUCCAAAAUCUGAGGAAAUCCCUAUUUCAGCACCAAACCACAGUUUGUAUGGGAACAUCUAGCAAUAUGUAAUGGGCAGAGUCUGGAUUAAAAUGCUCCCUUUGUCACCCCUUACUCACCCCUGAACAUUUUAUUGCAUUUAAACCAAGUCUGUAGAUCUGUCUGAAUAUUACUCACUGUACCUUUAAAUUCACAGUUUUUUACAAACACUCCUUUUGAUUGGGUCAAAGCUUGGAGUAUGACAUAAAUCUUAAAUUCUGACUGUCAGGUUUACUAUUGCAGCUGUUUGCCCGGAGGCUUAAAGUCCACCUCAGCUCCAUCUCUAUUUGUCAAUUUCCACCGCAUCGGAAAUGGCUACGAAAAGGCCAUAUCCGUCGACCGUAGCUGAUCGUAACCAUUGAAGUUAAUGUGUCCGUCUUCUUUCCGUUUCGCUGUGGAUCGAAGUCGGGCACAGACACAAAAUAAAACAUCCAGCUUCUUUUCAAAAUAAAACACUCCAUGUUUCAAGCAGAUCAUAUUUCACACCAUGCAAACAGGCGAGGAUAAACAAGUAAAAGGUUUAUAGAUAGCAUUUCAUCUUGAUGACACCAUGGAUGAGGAGAUGCUGAUUAUAGAAGUCUAGAAGUGGAUUAAGUGUUAGAUUAAAUGUUGGAUUAAGUUAAUAUUUCUGUUAUGGGGACUGCCAUUGUUGGGCUUCCAUAGAAACUAGUAAUAGAUUUCACUAACACAGAGUCCUUUGCUGUCUUAUUUAUGGCAAUUUUUAUUCAUUUUUUAAUUUUUGUUGUCAUGUUUGAUUUGGGUAACUAUGAACAGGACGAGAACAGAAUCUAUCUCCAUGUUUGCAGUUUAUUUUCAGGGUCAACCACACAAACUUCUUUGCAUUUAGUUCAGGCUGCAAAUCACCCAAAGCUGAAUUUUCUCCUUACAAAACAAGGUCCAUAUAGAUGAUAGGAACUGCAGCGUUGGGUUGUGUUGUCCUAUUAGUUUGUCACCAGUAGCAACAGCUUCCACAUUAACACACACUGACUUAAUUAAAUGUUAAUUUUUAUGAAGUGUUUUAGAGUUUUUCAGGUAUAUGAGAACUAAUUGACAAAUUAAACGCAUUGUUAAGAGUAUUUUUAAAUGUCAUGGGUUUGAACUCAACCUGUGAGUCCAAAUCUUUAAUAAGAGGAAAAUGUGUCAUGGUCAGAGUGAGUAAUGAAGAGUCAAACAAAAAGAGGUUAACUGAGGGUAAAAACAUACAAACAAAUAACGCAACGCACGCACUCGGACACCCGAACACACAAUCCUCCACACACACGAAAUCUGUAGCCUCUCCCUGAGGAAAUGCACGAGGAAUCUGUUCACUCCACAUUGUGAGGAGACAAAGGACAGGGAGUGGGGAUGACGGGUGGAGGUUUAGGUCUCCAGUUUCAGCUCCUCUGAGGGUGGCCGUGGGCGUGCAGCGUGGGAGGAGGUGGUGGGUGAUUGUGUGAUGUAUGCAGGGAGGGAGAGGGAGUGUGCGUCUUGUCCUCUGCAUGCAGAGUUUUCACGUGUCAGGAACACCAUCUCUAGAAUGAUCUUUGUGGAUCUGGUGGUACGCGGCGCCAGCACCUCCUUCCUCCGGCACCCACACUCAACUCCUCUUUCUCAUGUCAGCACCUGGAUGCCUCAGAGAUGGAUGUGAGGGUCCUUCGGCGCUGCUGAGGUUUCUGUUUCUGCACAAUAAAUGACUAACAGACCUCAAGGAAAAUAAAAGCCCUUAACUGUCAGCGAUCGUUUUUUACUGUCAGAAUAUCAAAAUAACAAGAAUGUGAAAAGGUGAAAGAGGUCAGUUAUAUUCAUGAGCCUUAUCUACUGCUGUUAAAGCUCCUCUGAGGAACUUUCAGUUUGGUUGUAAUCAUUUAUGUUUGUAUUUGUAUUGGCUUAAAUUGCGCUCAUAUGUUGAGUCAGAGUGGUAGUACAACUAGCUUGACAUAAUGCUAUGUUAUGACCGAUGAUAUCCUCUAGUGUGGUCCAGUUUGGACAAUGGAAAUGAUGUUUUACUUUGGGCUGUGAAUGGCUAACUUGGCGUAUAACCACAUGGCCAUAGCAGUGUGUUGUCUAUCUGCAAAGAGGACUAGCUCUGCAAACUUAAUCCAAAUUCAGAAAACCUGGAGCUUCUGAAUCUGUGAUCCUGUGUUUGCACCUUAAAGGGAUACUCCACUUCCUUCUCUAGUUAUACCAACUUUAGUAACGACCGCACGAUAGCAAUACACAGCGGUCUAAGGAGCCACGCACUCACCUCAACCAAAACACCACUCUAUAGCCACAAACAAUAUUCAGAACAGCACCUAACUUCAUCAACAGGACAUAUAGGGUCCCAGCCAUAGUACUAGCCACCAAACAUCUUUUUAGCUUUGUCUGAUUUCUUUAGCAAGGAGACUAAACACAACUCACCUACUCUCUUCCAGCAGCCGCUUGUUUGUAGGGAGAGCUCGGACGAGUCCAUCUCCAGAUGCAGUGGGGUGACGCAGCUCAAGGAAGAACAUUUAUGAUCAUUACUUUAUCAUUUCCUUGAAGUAAUAAUCAUCAUAUUAAUCAUUUUGCACUGCAGAUGCGGUAGUUCUUCUGCCUUAGCGGCUCAGUCUGAUUGUAUUUCCAUGAAGAAACCGGCAACAUUCAUCUCUCAAGGGGGUGUCUAACUCAGUGUGACAGUGUGUUUGACCAUAACUUAAUUUUAUGCUGGAACAUCCUUUUAACGAUGGCCGAUUAGUCAGAACACAGAUUUUCGUCUUAUAAAUGUACCACUGAGUUAAAUAUUAAUAUCUAUUAGUACAUGUGACCUAAUUAAUCAAAUUCACUUUCACAUAUGAUCCCGGCCAGAGCUAAAAACUGAAGGGCCUUGUGUUGAAAUCCACACCCAAAGGGAGUGACUGUGAAUCAGAUGACUGCAGAUAACAGCUCUAUUUUAUCAUUUCAGCUCUGUAUACACCGUCAACAUAUCACAAAAGUUUAUAGCUCUGAACAGGGAGUGUAAUGAACUUUUUCUGCACUCCUUGAUUGAUUGCAUCUGUGCAGUCUGCAGCUUUAACUUUCUUCCCCUCCUACAUAAACACACGCUGAUCAUAUACUGAGCACUUUUAUUAAAAAUCAAAACAUCCACCAACAAAAACAGGAUGUUUAAGCCGGUUUAAUACAAAGAGAAAGGGGGAGUUUUUUUUUUCUCCAAGACUUUUGUACAGACAGACGACCAGCUGCUGAUUGUGAAACCGGAUGACAUGAGCAACUGCGUUCUCCAUCCCAGACCGAGCUUUACAUGACCCCGAACUUCCCUCUCCAUAAGUAGGAACUUCCUCCAUUUCACAACAAGUCCUCUUGUGCCUGCCUCCCCUGUCUUCAAUCAGCAAACCAAAACAUGUCCUCCUGCAGAGCCACUAACAUCUGAUUUAGCAGUGUGAGAGCUUCUAAUCUGUGCUGCAUGGAUGAAAAAACUCAAGGGAUUAAAGGGGAAAUCAUUCUCUCCACGGCUCCUAAAACCAAAGUGGGUUUUCGCUGCAGUGCUGAUGGUAGAUAGGGGCUUUCUGUGUCUGCCUCCCAUUGUCUUGUUACCUUAUAAAUCUUCCACGCCGACACCUGAUACCUGAUAUUGCGGCCCAUUUGUCACCCGUGUUUACGUCUGGGAUGAAGAGUGCUGUCGGGGUUGGGACGCUCUCCACCCCUCCUUGGGUGUGGGCGCUGAUGGGAGAGACGACACUGUAAGCUUGGGGGGUCAACUCCAGGGUGGAGGAGUGUAGGGUUAGGCUGCCCUCAGGAAAUACGGGUCUUAUCAUGUCCCAGAGAAAAGCAGAGCCGGUUCUUGAGACAAUGAGUCACAAUAAGUGAGAAGGAGGAUUUUGUCAAGGAGCAGUUUACCGACAUAAGGAUAAAAUAACCUUUUGAAUGUGAACUGGUGAGCUCUCCGUAUUUGUUAUCUUUCAUGUCCGUUCAGAGGAUUUCAUUUGCAGUGUCAAAGAUCAAGUGGCACAAGCUUAACCACUGCCCCCUCUUUAAAUCUGUCAUUUAUUGAACCUAACCAACUAUGUUCCUAAACUUUGAAGAUGUUGGUGCAAUUUCUCGAUAUAAAAAGGCAUAUUUAUGUGAUAACUUGGUCUGAUCCCUGAGAAUUAAAAAAAAAGGAGGCUGAAGCAGCAAAGUUAAGCAUUAGCAUCACCACAGGUAAUUAGCAAAGCUGUGUAGUAAACCAGCUCCUUGAAAAUCCUUUUUAAUUUAGCCGUUUUGCUGAUCUGGUUCAAGCUCUUUGACUCUCAGCCUCUCCUGCAAAGAUCUUCUCUAAAACAGCAUUAUUUCCAGUAAAUUACCUGUUUUCUUACAGUACCUUGAUUGAAAAAGCUCUGUUUAGGGUGUUUAAUGAAUUUUAGGCAUGAUCAGUUGCACCCUGAGUCGCUCCUAUUUCUUGUAUCUAAGAGGAGAGACUGUACAUGUACAACUUUUAGCUAACCAGGGGCCUAAAUUAUUGUGUACCUGACCCUAAACUCUUACAGACUCUCCACAUAUCAGGGUGAACGAUAUGUGAAAACAACAGUGACAGAAAUUUCCACCAUGACUUUUCUUUGACCUUCAAUAACCAUGAAGUCAUGGUUCAGAUGAACCAUUCAACACAAGUGGGUUUAGGUAAUGACAUUUAAACUAUGUGACCCCUGUGAACCAACGCAGAGGAGCAAUAAGUGGGAGGAUGAACAAAAAUAUCAGAGGUUAAUGAAGAAGGAUCAUCUCUGUGAUGUCUGUACAUUUGUCCAUUUGCACAUAGAAUUAAUUUGUUCUGUUCUUUCAAAAUAAAGGUAACAGCUACCAAAAUAAAUCUCUAUAAAGAAAAAUUAUAAAGAUGUUGCAUGUCUAAAAGAAGCUUGAGACCAUAGACUGUACUUAGAAUGGACGCCAUCUGCCUCCCAGCUGGGUGAAGCCACUCCGAGAACAGCACCCUCUGGUGAUGGGCUGCAGUAUAGGUCAGAAAUCCCGCCUCCUCCAGCAAUCCUUAUGGAGUUGUGGACAAACUGUAGAAAUCUAUUACACAGAAUAUAUACUGGCGGCAGGCGAAACCAAGUUGUCCAUAGUUUAUACAGUCUAUGCUUGAGACUCUUUCGCUGAGCUUUACUAAAAGAAACGACUAAUAAUUCUAAUUUGGCGAAUAUUUGCAGAAAUAUGCCGAAAAAAGUGUUUUUUCAAGAAAGGGAGUGAAAUAUAACCAGAGCGAAUGUGAUAGCAGACCUUCAGCCUUCAGACACUUUUUCCUGGGGUGAGGUUGGAAAACAUGUUUUACAACCACUUUGUUUCAAGCAUUUUUAGCCCUAUAAACUAUCAGUGAAAUACCACGGCUCCUUCGGUAGAGUAGAUCCAAUGAAAACUGUACACAGUGAGGUUUGGGAAAGAGCCAGACAGAGCAGCGAGCGGGGAUUCGUUUCUGGGAAGAGACGUUACCGUGGAAGUUUCAGUCACCAAACAAUUUGACUUCAUUAACUUCCAUUGUGAUUGGCUGGUGACAGAAAUCUUAGACAGAGACCCCAGAACCAGAACCAAUAAAAACCAAACUAUGUGAAACCGUUUGAGGUUCCACAUAGUUUUGUUUUUAUUACUUUGUGUUAUCCAAUGAACUUGCUGUGCUGUAAAGCACUAACCAUAUCUCAGAUCUCUGCAGUGCAAUCUGCAUAACCUUGUUUAUUCAGCAGCCCCUGCACCACCCCUCCACUCCGCCUUUUGCACUCCAUCCAGGCCUGACACACAAUAACCCUCAAUGCCAGUGCAUCAGUAAAUACUCGCAGGCUCUCUGGCAUAAAGAAAAUAGCCGUGCAGGGAGAAGAAAGGAAAGAAUGGAGGAGGGAGGGGAGCAAGAAAAGAAGCGGGGCAGAGAAAAGAUUAGGCUCUGGAGAAGUACAACUUUCCAAAGCUGGCUCGGUUCUUGGCAGAAGGCCAGGACAGGGAGACAAUGCAACGCUGUGCAGAUCCAGGAAUCUAUAGACGCUCACUGGAGCAUUGCGCUAUUGGUGGGAGGGUUACGGAGGGAGGGAGGGGAGGAGGGCUCUGUUUUCCAAAGCCAAGCACAGAGGACAUGAUGGGGCUUUGUGGUGGCCGGUAAGCCAGUAGGGGAGCUUGGUUGAAUCGGAGCAGCAGAAUUAGCAAUGCAGUCACAACGUACAGAAAAUAUUGACCUGACAGACUUCACCGGGGGAUGUAUAGGGCCUUACAGUCCUGCCUGGCCCCCCUUGUAAACUCCCACCCUUAUAGCAAACCAAAGCCUCCCAUCCUUGAGCCUCCAUAUCCCAAGCUCAAGUCUGGUCUUGGCAGCACCUGCUCUGUGUCAGUGUAGAGAUGAGGGGACCGAGCAAUAUACUGAAAACAAUCUGUCAAAGGGCCAUCUCAGUGUGGCCCCCGGGCCUUUUAAUAAGGACGGACAAGAGGAAUAAUAUAACAACUGAUUUCUGUUUCCCCUCCUCGCUUUGUGGUCCAUCUUCCAGCCCUCUCCUCACUUCAUUACAUUUUCAUUCAUUUCAAUCAGUGUUUCAUUUCCUUUCUCUCCUCUCGGCCCUCUUGGCGGUACGUGGAGGGUCGAGGUUAAUACUGGAAAAAAAGGAGGCGAGGGAAGAGGAGAGGAAGGAGGAAGAGGAAGAGGGAUGGAGGAGACAGAGAGGUGCACCCCUCUAAGAUCAAAGGCUCCCAUUGUGAGGACUGUACAAUGGACGACUGCAUAGAGUAUGCUCAGACGGACCCCCUCCCUCUGCUGCUCUGGACCCCCCCACAGGCCAACUGACAGCAGAGCUGGGUGGGAGCAUCGGGGGUAAUUGGAGGAAUGAGUGGUACUGUGUACAGUGGAGUACAGUUCUUUCACACAUUAACACAGAUUUAAACCAAAAACGCCAGAGUAGGGUCAAUUUGAUCUCUGGAGCUCAUUUUAAACCAACCCAAACUGACCAAAGUCCAGUCUGUGCUACUGUAGUGACAAAAAGACCGCCUACAUGGAAGUGGUCCCGCUCCAAUGUUGGUAUAAAAAGCUUAUAAAAGUUUAAAAAUAUAUAUAAAGGCUGUUCUUUAAAGAUACGAGUGAAUACCUGCUCCAUUUCUACCACGCUUGCUUUGGUAAAUGCUGUUAAACACAACUCACUGUACCUUUCUGAACAGAUUUAUAAGAGGACACCCACUUGUCUUGUCAAACAUCCCCAGGCGGGGAGUUCCACAGCUGUUAAAGCCUGAAUUGCAAAUGCUCAGUCACCUCAUUUGACUGGUUCACAUUUGCAGUAGGAACCACGAGGAGGGCCUUCAAAGAAGACCUGAGGGCAGCACUCAGACUCAUGGGGAGUUAGCAGCUCACAGAUACAGGCUGGUGCCUGGUCAUUUAAGGCUCCAAAAACAAGCUGUAAAAGUCUUCCAAUCAAUUCUUAAACUCACUGGUAGCCGGUGAAGGGCAGCGAGGGAUACAGUGUUAUAUGAUCUCCUCUCUUGCUAUGUGUUAAAAGCCUGGCAGCGAGGUUUUGAAUUACAUGAAGUCUUUAGAUGUUCUUGCUGAUGUCAAAAUAAAGUGUAUUGCAAUAGUCAAGGCUUGAGGACUUUUGCUAUGUCAGUGGGGAAAAUACAAGAACUGAGUUUAGUCUGUUUUCCCAACCCAGCAAAAUAAAACUGCAAAACUUUGGCCACUAAAGAAUCACAGGAAAAAUUGAAAUAAAAAAAAUACUUUCUAGGUUUCGGGCCUGUGUGCUAGGGUGACCAUACGUCCUCUUUUACCCAGACAAGUCCUUUUAUUGGGGGGCUGUCCGGCCUGGUCCGGCUUUCUAAAAUCCUUCAAAUGUCUGUAGUUUUGUUCGGAAGUUUCCAGUUUGUGUUGCGUGGACUUUCUGAGUCAGACGCGCGUAAAAGACACUCGAUCUGACCUGAAGAACUCUCAAAAUGAACUUCGUAAGACUUCAUGACUCCACCCCUGCGUAGUCGUGUCCUCAGAAUAUAGUCACCCUAUCUUUGCUGCAUUAAUAGAUAAGGCACCCAGGCUGGAGAAUGGAUUAUUAACGUAACUAGAGCAGAGAUAGUAACGACCAUAACAUCAGAGUAUGAGUCAUUAAGAAUCAAUUUAGGGAAAUUUUAAUCUUGAUUUCAACCAGACAGCAAAGUAUCAGAAACAACAGAAAGUGCCAGACUAGAAGCAUAGACACAUAGACCUGAGUGUCAUCUGCAUAGCAGUGAAAAGCCAAACCAUUGCCCCAGUGGAAGCAUGUUAACAGUGAAUGAAAGGGGACCCAAAAUAGAGCCCUGAGGUACCCCACAAGAGAGUGGUGGCAUUUCCAAGCAUUUUAAAGGAAGACCUGUUGGACAGACGGGAAACUAAACAGUCUGAAAUACUAACCCAAUGCUAACCCAACAUAGAAAAGGUUUUUGCAAAACCUGUGAAGCAGUUAAUAUUUAUCCAAAAAAGUAAUCUUACAUCCUUUACACUUCAUAUGAUACAUCUGGAGACGCUUAAAUGCUGUUUUGUGUAAAAAUACAAAAAGAACGUUUUUAAUCCUUCACUUUUUAGACAAAUAAGCAGAAAUGUGUUUGUUGUAGUGCACAACUCUUUUUGUAUACUGGAAAUAUGUGACCUUUAAACAACACAACUUUGCUGUUUGUAUGAAUUAUAAAACUAUAGAGGAAUUAAAUUGAUCGAACCGUUCAUAGUGACGCAAAUGGAAAAACACAAACCGCAAAUAAAAAAAGGGAAACUAAGCUUACAUUAGAUAUUCAUGACAUAAGAAGAAAUUCUCUUUGCAGAUAACAGGAGUUUUUUUAUUUCUUUCACUGUCGCAUGAGCUGCGGUGAGAGUGAAACCACAAUCUCAAGCUGUGAGGAGACUUGACAUACAAUAUCCUGCUUUGAUACAAGCAGCAAACCAAGUGUUGUGAGCUGCCCCGUGUUGAAGAUGCAAUAACAGAUUAACCAAAGUGUCAACGCUCGCAGACGCUUGAUAAGACGGGGAAAAAAAGUCCCCGAAUAUCCCCCACAGAGGUGAGCUGGCAGUUGGCGUUGUGCUCUUACAGCUGUAACCAAUGGAUGACCUCAAGGCUGAGCUGCACAUUCGCACAAUGGGAAGAAACAAAAACUCCUUCAUGCCUCAAAAGAAGGUCCCGCAGCUUUAAGAUGUUCCCCUCUUUUAGUUUUACUUUGUUGAGCUCAAGUGCACUCGUAAUUAUUGCCCUCUUGUUAGUUCUUCUUUAUGGAGCUAACUCCUUUUUUUACCUUUGCUUCCCUCCUCCUUUCCUCCCUUCGUCCCUCCUCCUUCUCUAAGCCUGCGGGGCUUAUCUGUGGGGAUGAGGGAGAGAGGAGAAUGGGGAAGACAGGCACUUUCAUGGCUGAGUUGGAAGCCAUUAGCCCCCUGUGUGCUCGGCCCAGCUCUACCUCCUCUCAGUAUUAAUCUGCAGUGACAGCUUCACUGUUUACCAAAUCCACCCAGGAUCCUGGGGGAUGACUGGCCGGCGCCACUCUGCUCCAUUAACCUCUGACCUCCAGCGUUACGGCACCAGAGCCAGGCCCGGGGCUCGGGGUUAGCUGGCCUGAGCAACCGGUCGGACACCUGUCUGAGACAGAACUCCAAACAAUCUGUGCAAAAAGAUGUGUCUCAGCUGGACUUGGAGGGGUUGAAUAAUCCACAGUCACGGCUCUCUUACCUCCUUCUUUGGUCCUUUUUAGUUACAACUCCCCAAAUAAGAAGAAAACUUACAUGUGUGGGAGUAAAGUUCAUUUAAAACAGAUUUUUCCCAAACCAAUUGUUAUUAUGUAACUGACAACACUGACAGGUGAAGUGAUUUCAACUCUGCAUCUCAUGGGUGAAGUUAAUGAAUGAGGUUGUACUUUGUAGAUGCAUCCCUGCCUGUGCAGAGAGACCUAUAAAGACAGCCUGGGCCUGAAAUAUCUUAAAACAAGAUUUAUAUUUGGACUUUGUCAGGUCAGUAUAUCUCAUACAAAUGUGAUGAAAUGCUUUGACUGGAGAAACGAGUCAAAGUCAGUCAGUGGGAUUUAAUUUUAAGCUUUGUUGGGCUAUCAUGAUAUCAGAUUUUCAACUUCCAAUCACUGUGGCCAUAAAAUAUGUCAGCUAGGGUGACCAUACGCCCUCUUUUACCUGGACAUGUCCUCUUUUUUGGGAACUGUCCGGCAUGUCUGGCCUUGUAUGGCUUUGUCCAGGGUAGUUACUAAAAUCCUUCAAAUGUCCUUCAAAAUGGGGUUUUGUAUGGAAGUUUUGAGUUUGUGUCGUGUGGACUUACUGAGUUAGAAGCAUAAAAACACUCAACCCGACCCGAAAAACUAUGUGCAACUCUGUGACUCCACCCCUGCGUAGUCGUGUCCUCUUUAUGGAGAUUCAGAAUGUGGUCACCCUAUGUUAGCUAUAUUAUCACAAUAUUUAUCAAUAAUUUUAAAACAGAAUAACGCAAUUAUUCUUUGGAGAUUGUUGUGCUUUUAUUUUGACAUGUUUUUCCAUCUGUUUAGGUUGGUUUAUUAUGGUCAUUCUAAAACUAUGCUUUUAUUUUGAAGUGAAGAUAAUGUCUGGCAGAUCAGAAGUUACUAAACUGAAUAAAAACAGUAUAAGGAAAGGUUUAAAAGUAUAAAUGACCAUUUUAAUGGGAGCCUCAAGGAAGCACAGGCUUGAAAGUUGAUUGGGACUCAUCAUCUCUCGGGGGGUUGCUACAGCUAGCUAGCUAACAUCUUCUGCUUCUUCUUUGUCUCUUUAAAGAGAUAUUCCGGCGUAAAGUUAAUUUAGGGUCAAACACAGCGUAACUCUGAGUUAGAGACCCCCUCAACAGAUGAAUGUUGCCGACCACUUGCUUCUCUAGUUAUACCAACUUUAGUAACAACUGCAGGAUAGCAAUACACAGCGGUCUAUGGAGCCAUACACAAACCUCAACCAAAACGCCACUCUAUAGCCAGAAAUAAUGUUCAGAACAGCACCUAACUUCAUCAACAGUACAUAUAGGGUCCCAGCCAUAGUACUUGCCACCAAACAUCUUUUUAACUUUACCUGAUUUCUUUAGCAAAGAGACCAAACACAACUCACCUACUCCCUUCCAGCAGCCGCUUGUUUGUAGCGAGACCUCAGGCCAGUCCAUACGUACUGCUGCGGGGUGACGCAGCUCAAGGAAGAACAUUUAUGCCACUGUGUAUUGCUAUCCUGCAGUUGUUACUAAAGUUGGUAUAAUUAGAGAAGCAAGCGGUUCAUUCAUCUCUCGAGGGGGUGUCUAACACGGUGUUACGGUGUGUUUGACCCUGAAUUAAUUUUACGCUGGAAUAUCCCUUUAACACAUCUGUGGUAACCACAAUAAAGGACCACCACUAUGAACUUACAGUCUUACAACAUGCUUAUUUUUAGUAUACUAGUCAAUACAAGCAUACUGUUGUAGCCCUUCUGUAGACGUCAUCCAAUCAAACGGCUGCUGGCAGAUGAUCAGCUCAAUAGUUCAAUAACUCCGGGGGUUUCAAAUAAAAAAAAAACCUCUGUAUAAAAGGACGAUUUUAAGGUUUUUGACAGCAACUAAUGGGACCAACUGGAAAGCCAUAAGAAAUGAUCAGAACUCUGCUUGGAGUCCACAAUACAGCUCCUUCUUUUGAUUAUAUCCAACCACAUGCCUUCUGAUCCAUUUCCCAGGCUGACCGCCGCAUGCAAAGAGUAUUACUCUGCCCUCCUUUGAAGUUUCUGCUACAACCAAUCUCUGCUCAGAUCAAUCAUCUGUGCUGCUAAAGUAAAGCUCAGGGCUCUUACAAAACAUCGAACCUUUAAGCAAGAUGACUGCGCAUUACUUCUGAAUGUUACUAAUAAAAUGUUGAAGUCAUAGGUAAUAAAACACUUCAUCAAUUCAGUGCACUCAAGAGCCCUGGAGCCAGAGCUUAUCUUGUAUCAGUGGUAACCGGUCGAGGAUAAUGUCAGCUGUAAACACUGGCUAACUUACUCCUGACGUGCUAAGAUGUUUUAAAGUUGUGCUGUUAUAUUUCAGCUCACAGCGAUUGGUUUGUGGUGCUGUCUCCUGAUUUUAAUAUUCAUGCUCACUCUUAUUUACCAUCAGGACUUAUUUGGUUUUUGCUCAAAUUACUCACCAACCUCACCCUGCAAAGCUGUGCUUGUAUUAACUCUGCAGCAGAUGAAACUCUGACACAGAUAACCUCGCUGUUCCUCGCUCUUCUAAAACACAAGCGCUGUGACUAAUCCACCCGGGCUGAUCUCAUGAUGUUUACCUUGUGGUUUUUACUUGGGUUUACUCCGGGCCAAAGCAGGUCGCCGGACAACUGACUAAGCAGCGCAUUAAUAACAUCACAGCACAGUGUAAAUGCAGGGCUCUGAUGUUCCUGCUGGUGCGAAUGGAGAGCAUGUGUGCUAAGCAAAGCAAGAUGUGUGUUAAAGGUCAGCUGACGGCAGAAAGUACUCCAAAGAAGAGUGGGAAUUACACACCUUUUUCUGCUUUGUUUGUGUUUUUAAGUUCAUGAGGACAAACCCAAACAUCUGCACGGAAAUUUAAUGAAAAAGAGAAGUGCAAUCUGCAAAUGUUUGUGGAGGAAAAUGAACGGAAAAUAUAGACGAAUAGUAUACCAGGCCAACAAAGUUUUGUAAUUUAGUAUCUGCUUUUAUUUACUUAGUACCAAGCCAACACAGUCAAGCAUUAUACGUUCAUCCAGAGGGGAUGAUCAAGCUGAUGAGGAAGUGAAAAUAACAUCAGUGUGAAUGUUUCGCACAAUUUUAAUUUGCAAAACACGAGCUGCGUGUGUUCUUAGAAAAAGACGACAAGCCUCAAAAUCCAUUUCAAUAAUCUCUUCGGAGUAGUCGCAGCUGGAGAGAAUUAGCAGCAGCAGCUAUAGCUAGCAUUAGCACCGACUAAAUGAGGAAUGCUAAUGUGAUAUGCAUUUUUUUAGCUAUAGAAAGUUUACAAAACUAAAGCAACUUUUGUAAAAAUGUGUGAAUUUACAGCUUUUGGUGACCACUUUCAGCAACGACUACUGUGCAGACGUUUUCCCUCCCCUGCCCUGUAUGAUGUGAUCUCUGCACUCAUUCACAGUCAAUUUCAGCAACAAAAGUUUUACUAAAGACAUCCUGCAUGAAAGAGCAGAUUGAGGUAAAAACUCAGGCCUGGAGUUCGACCUCAUCCAAGGCCACACUGUCCACAUGAACCACUUCUGCUGUCUGGUGUAAGGCUAACACUGGGCUGUUACAGGGAGUGAAAUCAGGCAUCAAAAUCUCACUAGAAGUUGAAUUUUACCAAAAGCAUGGACACACAGUCAGAAGAUAAACUGUUACUGUCUCUACACACUAAGCACGAGUAGAAUCAUUCGCGCGAAUGAAUUACAUGUUAAGUCAAUGCAAAGACACAAGUAGACGCUCCUACUUCUCUGGCAGCGCGAAUGACGCGAAUUGGGCAGGAGCUGGAAAUGUUUCAACUUGAGCGGGUAUUCACGUCAUGAUAACUAAUCAGCACAAAGGCUGCCAGGUCACGGAUGGAUUUUGGAGGACAAACUGAUCGUGUCGGAGUGUGGGUGCCCCGAAAUUUUAUGAUAACUUUUCUUUCAAUUACCGAAACCGGAAUAAAAAGGAGCUCGCCUGGAGGCAAGUGAGUGAGGAGGUUGGAAUAUCUGGUACAUUGUAAAAAAAAAAGCCUUUGUCAAUCACUUGACCUUGCAGGUUGAAUUGGCAGGGAUUAUGGUUGAAAUUACCGUUGACACGCAAAUGAAGCGAGGAAUUCAUUCACGCAUCUAGAUUCGCGCGAAUUAAGCGAGUAGAUGAUUUUAUUCUUAAAGACUCACUUCUACUCUCUUGCCUUCUCAUAACCUGAUUUCUCAUCUGAAUUAAGUUCUUACCCAUUUUGCUAUCCUGUCCUUCCUGUCCUUUUUGUAAAGUAUAUAUGUAUAUUUUUACGUCAUCAUCGAGUAUGUUUUUAAAUAUUCUGAUUUUUAUCAAAGUCUGUUCCAAAUUUUACUGCCUUAAAGCACUUUGGCUCAAACUUUUUGUUUUUUAAAGUGCUCUAUAAAUAAAGUUGACUUGACUUGACUUAUUCACGCUUGGUAUGCGCGCCCCAUCAGACGACAUUUAAUGAACCAAACUCAGACUUUUUUUCCUCUAAUUUAGAAAAACUCACUUUGAAGACCGAUAAAAGCGCAGGUUCACAUUUCAUUUUUGCUUUGUUCAAUGCUUGACCUACAUUUUUUGCCCGACACGAUUUAAAGCCUUCAGACCAGAUAUAAUCAGGCUGAAAACUGUCAAAAGUUUAUCUCAUUGACAUACAGCAUGUUCAUUUGUCUUUGAGGUUUAAUCUGAGCGAUCUGUGUCCUGAAACCUGCACAGCCGCUCAAGUGAUGAAUUCAGAGAAAAUAAAAGCGAGCCUCUAAACAAACGUCUGGGCAUGACUGCUGAUGGUGCAGAUCUAUUAGUGAGCACAGUGUCACACUUUACAGUCAGAACCUACAUACUGACACAGGCACAUUUCCCAGCAGUGUGUUGGCUUGCUGCAAAGAAACAUGAGCAUGCACAAUCAGAGGAACACACACACACACGCACACACACACACAGACACAAACAUAAACUCCUUAAGCCAAGCCAAACACACUCAGCCUUCUGACCAGACAGGAGGAGUGACAAAGCAGCACACACUUCCAUCAGCAGCCUGCACACACACUCCCCCUCCUUAUUCGACCUCUGACCUCGAUGACAACAGACUGUCAUCACCGUCACUCCUGCAAGGUAAACACAACGUCCUACAAAAAACUCGGGCACAGACCGAGUCCCGGAGCUGAGAGUGUGUGCUCUGUCCUCUUCAAACAUCCAGGCCGUCUUUUAAACUUCUUUAUUAAACCUGCAUGUGUUCUGGUUUUAUCUGCUCUGCUCUUUAAAUAACUCACUCCCAAAUCCAGCCCACCUGCAGCCCCCACCAAAGCUCAGCCUUUUCUCAUUUUUCUGCUGAAUGUUUUUUUGGGGGGAAAGCGAGGUUUUAGGAACACAACCAGUGCCAAAAAGAGAAAUAUUUACCCAAGGUGACGCAAGCAGUGCCCUGCUAUUGAACUGGUCUUUGCUAAAUUUAGACGCUCUUCAGCCACCAGAGCAAAGUGCUGCACCCAUCAAGAUAACAAGACAUUAAAAGAGACCACUUAAACUGAAGAGCCCCUCUGCAGAUUCCUAAGUUUCCAGCGUCAAACUGCUCGGUGCUGAAUAUGCUAACAGCUCAUAGUUGUUGCCUUUUUACCUCCUAACCUCGCCUCAUCAUUAAAGGCAUUGGACACAAUCAGCAUGUGAAGUUUGGACUGCAAACACGAACGCAAACGCGGCCCUCCUGCCCGCUUAGCCGCUUUCCACAAAUCAUACGCAAAAUGUUUAUGGGUUUUUCCACAAAUUAAACAAAUAAAAAGCGAGGCUGGGGUUGGGUCAAAGGGGGGUUGAGCAAAGCUCUUGGACGGUGUGCAAGGCAGGGCCCGCAGCCAGUUUAGCCCCCUUCCUCCUCCUCCUCCUCCUCUUCUUCUUUCUCCUCUCCCAGGAGAACCACCACGCCACAGCCAGCUGGAAACCAUUGACAGGAGUUUGGGGUUAGUGAGCGAGAGAGUAGAGGGGCUUGAGGGAGAGGAUCAGGAGGGCAAGCCUGUCUUGAUGAAUCUACUUUCCACCGCCGAAGUAAGACCAGAAACCGAGGCGGAGAAGAACAAGUAUGUGUCAUAUAUCUGUGUCAUUUAUUUUCAUGCCGGGAGUGAGUGAAAGAGAGAGAGAGGGGUGUUUGAACAUCAUGAAUCAUCAGCUUCAUUUCCCGAAAGAGGCCUGAGGGAAAACCGAAGGGACAGAAAUCUGGAUUCUCUCCAAGCGGGGAUGUGUUGGUCAUUCAUGAAAAUACAAAGUUUACACCAGUUCAAGGAAAUAAAAUCUGCAUGAAUGUUUAAAGCGUUUAUAAAACAGCCUCCUCAGACGUGUAGGAUGAAGACAUUGCGCUCAUCUGAGUCAUUCAGCACUUGACACUUGGCGAAAUGUUUGUGCAAACCGAGCCUGUGCUGAAUUAUUGUAAUUUUUUGCAGAGAGAAAAAAAGAAAAAAAACGCGAGGAAGUGGUUUCAGAAACUUUCUCAAUGCUCAUUUCUUGAUGGCUUCAAUAAGUCCGUGGGUGUAGCCUGCUGUUUUGAGUUUGUCUUUGACAUUUUUAAGGUUUGAUUCAACAGCCACUUGAACUCGUGUUUCGUCUCAGACUCUGAAGAGGAGUUUGGAAGAAUAAAGAACAAAAACGACAAAAGAAUCCGGUUUGAGUCAUUUACACGCAAUUCACACUCGUAAUGAAGACGCGCAGCACGCAACUAACCCCCACAACGAGACACCAGAGCCUGAGCGGCACGCAGUUUUACCCAGUCAGCGCUGCGAUUACCAGAUAAACAGCAGACGACUUCACAAUGACAUCAGGCGUUAGCUCCGCGGCACGCUCCAACAACGCUCAACACUUUAACUUGCAAACAAAAUGAGUGAGUCACUGAAGAUGUCAGCACCAGUGUGACGAGAAUAUAUGCUUAAAGGGAAGUGGAUUUCAUGUAAGAGGACAAAAACACCUCCAGGAAGACGUUGGGUGUUAAAGUUCAGACAUAAAUAAGUCGACCUUGAUGAAAGUCUUGAUAUACUAUAUCCUUAAAUCAAGCAUGAAGUUUUUCAUUUUCUGCGUGAUCUCCUCGUUCCCUGGACUCCGUCUGCACAUAUGGACUUUCUAUUUUUACUUGAAUACCUGCCCCUCUCCCAUGUGCACAGCUGGAUUUUAUUUCCAUUGGUCUAAAGGAGAAGAAAAACAUGGCUCCCCUCCUCAAAGAUAAAAGUUCCUUACAGUACCCAGCAGACCCCGAGAAAUCAUAUUUUUCUCUUUAAAGUGCUUGUUGAAAAUCUGAAACUUCACUUUGACCUGUUUUUCCAAAUCAUGAGCGACUCCGGGUGAAAUGAGGGAUUUGAGAUCAAUCUGGUUCAUGUAGCUCGUAAACCCCUGAAGAUACGAGACAUUCAGAAUACAUCAUCCGCUUGAACAGAGCGUCUAUCUUAACUCAACAUGAAUACUGUUUAAAUCAAACAUUACUUUACAUCACACUGCAAAAGAAGUCCAGUCAGGGCCAUGUUUGCAUCGAAGGAGUUGUAUUUGGCAUGAGGCGCCUGUUUUCAGACACACAUGAGGAGCCAAGGCAGGCAGAGCAGCAGCAAAGACCCCUGGGGCACAGAGCGUUCGUGAAAAUACGAAAUUAGACUCAGCAGAAAAUGGACAAAGCAGUUUAAAUAGACACACACACACACACACACACACACACACACACACACACACACACACACACACACACACACACACACACUGUGGUGUUCUGCCUCUCUUACUCCAACACAACCUUCCUCCAUCGGGUCUCAGUUGCUACUCUGAUCAGAGGUAGAAUAACUGUGCGCCAACAUUUAUGACACAGUUCAGACAAAAUAUAGCAGAGGUGUAAAUGUCUCACUUUAAACUGGAAAAUUUUAAGAGUCUGAAGUCAAAAACAAAGGAGAAAGCAGGGCUCGACAGUGGGACCGUUUCACUUGCAUUUGCGACUAAAAAAAGAAGUGAAGUUAGAUUUAGGUUGGAUAUUCGACGGACAUUCAUCACGGAUCUACCGUUGUCUUCUCAAUCUCCAUAACCGGGAAUAGCAACAGCAGCGCAGUUAAAUCUAUUCGGCACCCUCGCUGUCAACAUCGGGUGUUGAACAAGGGACCGUCAAUAAAUUACCGAUUGAUGUUCUCAAACAAAGGCUGUUUUCCUUCAAUAGCUUCCAUGUCAUGUGACCAAUUGAGCUAAAGUUGAUUUCAAAUUAUAGUUCUAAGGUCGACCAAUAAGACACACAUUAUUUGAUCAAUUUUCAUUGUGCCCCUAAAGUUCUUUGUGUGUGCCCCUUGUGUAAAAAGUUAGUGUCAAUCCCUGUCUUAAAUCCAGACUUUUUAUUAACCUGUUGCAAAUUAACCAAAAAUAUCAAGAGAUUAUAAUUUGUAGUUGCAGUGUUUUAUAUGUUCCCUUUGCACUAUUUACUAUCCUAACUCUAUCCUGAAUCCUGACUCUACUCCUUACCUGUUAGAGGAUAUAAGCUUUUUUUUAUAGUCCUAUGACAUUUUGGGAACUUUCUGCCAAUCCAUUUGCAGUAGUCCUCUAAAAAAUAACAACUUUUAACAGGCUGUUUGAAAACUUGAAUCCCACUUCCCCUCAAUCCACAAAGGAAUCACGACACCAACCCAGUGCAGCAGCGCUUAAGGAAAAAGUGGUAUAGCCAAUAGGGAAACUUGGAUCAGGCCGAGUGUCAAACAAGUUACAUCAGCCCGUCACAUAAGAGUUUAUUCUCAGCCAAAAACUUGUCAUGCUCUGUUAUUCCUGGUAGAUGUAUGUAGACUCGCUUAAGAAUACAAAUAAGAUGGUUUUGGGGGAUCCUAUUUGUGGUUUAAACUCAUCGAUAGAUAGAGUUAUAUUCAGGAAAAAGUCACAGGAGGUCACUCAUCACCGUGGCUUCUGAUUUCAUGAAGGUCAGUUUCGUAUGCGUCGACUGUCACCAAAUGACUGCACAGUUUUAAAAAUAGACCGUAGUGAUUCAGCAGUUUAAAAUUCUGCCGAGUUAACCCUGUAAAAACCUGACAGCCUUCCUUGUGCACUUCCUCCUGAUGCCAUGGCUGUCGGGUAUUUUUCCACUGAAAGUAAACAGCAGAUCUAGUUUCAGGUGCAAACCACACGUGUGCACCUACAGGGGAGAACGCAGAGAUGAGCCGCAUCUUUGUGUUUCUCUGCGAAGUAGUCGUUUGGUGGUUCGCUCUAUUUUCCCCUUUAAAAAAAAACAUGAACAUGUAAUGAACAACAGACUUUCUAAUCAGCUCCCAGAGAGGAAGC